ACUCAAAAUAGCUUAAAUUAUAAAGCAAAUCAUUGAAGCUGAUUAGAUGUUAAAACUAUGAGUA
rnacentral:tRNA from 1 species